UACGUAGGGUGCAAGCGUUGUCCGGAAUUAUUGGGCGUAAAGAGCUCGUAGGCGGUUCGUCGCGUCGGCUGUGAAAACCCGAGGCUCAACCUCGGGCCUGCAGUCGAUACGGGCGGACUGGAGUUCGGCAGGGGAGACUGGAAUUCCUGGUGUAGCGGUGAAAUGCGCAGAUAUCAGGAGGAACACCGGUGGCGAAGGCGGCACUCUGGGCCGGAACUGACGCUGAGGAGCGAAAGCGUGGGGAGCGAACAGG
rnacentral:rRNA from 1 species